UACGUAGGGGGCUAGCGUUGUCCGGAAUCAUUGGGCGUAAAGCGCGUGUAGGCGGCCCUGCAAGUCGGAUGUGAAAUCCCACGGCUCAACCGUGGAAGUGCAUUCGAAACUGCAGGGCUAGAGUCCUGGAGAGGAAGGUGGAAUGCUUGGUGUAGAGGUGAAAUUCGUAGAUAUCAAGCGGAACACCGGUGGCGAAGGCGGCCUUCUGGACAGUGACUGACGCUGAGACGCGAAAGCGUGGGGAGCAAACAGG
rnacentral:rRNA from 1 species